rnacentral:rRNA from 1 species
CCUACGGGAGGCAGCAGUGGGGGAUAUUGCACAAUGGGGGAAACCCUGAUGCAGCGACGCCGCGUGUGGGAAGACGGUCCUCUGGAUUGUAAACCACUGUCCCCAGGGACGAAGAUGACGGUACCUGGGGAGGAAGCUCCGGCUAACUACGUGCCAGCAGCCGCGGUAAUACGUAGGGAGCGAGAGUUGUCCGGAAUUACUGGGGGAAAAGGGAGCGUAGGCGGGACUGCAAGUUGGGUGUCAAAUCUACCGGCUCAACCGGUAGCCGCACUCAAAACUGCAGUUCUUGAGUGAAGUAGAGGCAGGCGGAAUUCCUAGUGUAGCGGUGAAAUGCGUAGAUAUUAGGAGGAACACCAGUGGCGAAGGCGGCCUGCUGGGCUUUUACUGACGCUGAGGCUCGAAAGUGUGGGGAGCAAACAGGAUUAGAUACCCCAGUAGUC